GCACUUCAAUGUUGUGGCUCCGAUAUCUCUACCUCCUCCCCCAGUGGCCAGGGCGAGGCUCAUCCCCUGCACUCCGGGUGUGCUGACCCCUGCGAUUUCCCCAAAUGCAGGAAACUCGACUGCAUAAUUUGUGGUAGUGGGGGACUGCGUUCGCCCCCUCCCCUG
rfam:Tyto alba contig4271, whole genome shotgun sequence.